rnacentral:rRNA from 1 species
GGGAGAUAGCUGGUUCUCCCGAAAGCUAUUUAGGUAGCGCCUCGUGAACUCAUCUUCGGGGGUAGCACUGUUUCGGCUAGGGGGUCAUCCCGACUUACCAACCCGAUGCAAACUACGAAUACCGAAGAAUGUUAUCACGGGAGACACACGGCGGGUGCUAACGUCCGUCGUGAAGAGGGAAACAACCCAGACCCCAGCUAAGGUCCCAAAGUCAUGGUUAAGUGGGAAACGAUGUGGGAAGGCAUAGACAGCCAGGAUGUUGGCUUAGAAGCAGCCAUCAUUUAAAGAAAGCGUAAUAGCUCACUGGUCGAGUCGGCCUGCGCGGAAGAGUGUAACGGGGCUAAACCAUGCACCGAAGCUGCGGCAGCGACACUAAGUGUUGUUGGGGGUAGGGGAGCGUUCUGUAAGCCUGUGAAGGUGGCCUGUGAAGGGGCUGGCUGGAGGUAUCAGAAGUGCGAAUGCUGACAUAAGUAACGAUAAAAGCGGGGUGAAAAGCCCGCUCGCCGGAAGACCAAGGGUUUCCUGGUCCAACGUUAAUCGGGGCAGGGUAAGUCGACCCCUAAGGCGAGGCCGAAAGGCGUAGUCGAUGGGAAACAGGUUAAUAUUCCUGUACUUGGUGUUAUUUGCGAAGGGGGGACGGAGAAGGCUAGACCGGCCGGGCGACGGUUGUCCCGGUUUAAGCGUGUAGGUGUGAUGACCUGGCAAAUCCGGUUAUCUCUAACACUGAGGCGUGAUGACGAGGCACUACGGUGCUGAAGUGGUUAAUGCCCUGCUUCCAGGAAAAGCCUCUAAGCUCUAGAUAAACACUGAAUCGUACCCCAAACCGACACAGGUGGUCAGGUAGAGAAUACCAAGGCGCUUGAGAGAACUCGGGUGAAGGAACUAGGCCAAAAUGGUGCCGUAACUUCGGGAGAAGGCACGCUGGCAUGUAGGUGAAGUCCCUCGCGGAUGGAGCCGAAGCCAGUCGAAGAUACCAGCUGGCUGCAACUGUUUAAUAAAAACACAGCACUCUGCAAACACGAAAGUGGACGUAUUAGGGGUGUGACGCCUGCCCGGUGCUGGAAGGUUAAUUGAUGGGGUCAGCCGCAAGGCGAAGCUCUUGAUCGAAGCCCCAGUAAACGGCGGCCGUAACUAUAACGGUCCUAAGGUAGCGAAAUUCCUUGUCGGGUAAGUUCCGACCUGCACGAAUGGCGUAAUGAUGGCCAGGCUGUCUCCACCCCGAGACUCAGUGAAAUUGAACUCGCUGUGAAGAUGCAGUGUACCCGCGGCAAGACGGAAAGACCCCGUGAACCUUUACUAUAGCUUGACACUGAACAUUGAACCUUGAUGUGUAGGAUAGGUGGGAGGCUUUUGAAGUGUGGACGCCAGUUCUGCAUGGAGCCGACCUUGAAAUACCACCCUUUAAUGUUUGAUGUUCUAACCUGGUCCCGUAAUCCGGGAUAGGGACAGUGUCUGGUGGGUAGUUUGACUGGGGCGGUCUCCUCCCAAAGAGUAACGGAGGAGCACGAAGGUUAGCUAAUCCUGGUCGGACAUCAGGAGGUUAGUGCAAAGGCAUAAGCUAGCUUGACUGCGAGAGUGGACGGCUCGAGCAGGUGCGAAAGCAGGUCUUAGUGAUCCGGUGGUUCUGAAUGGAAGGGCCAUCGCUCAACGGAUAAAAGGUACUCCGGGGAUAACAGGCUGAUACCGCCCAAGAGUUCAUAUCGACGGCGGUGUUUGGCACCUCGAUGUCGGCUCAUCACAUCCUGGGGCUGAAGUAGGUCCCAAGGGUAUGGCUGUUCGCCAUUUAAAGUGGUACGCGAGCUGGGUUUAGAACGUCGUGAGACAGUUCCGGUCCCUAUCUGCCGUGGGCGUUGGAAGAUUGAGAGGGGCUGCUCCUAGUACGAGAGGACCGGAGUGGACGCACCGCUGGUGUUCGGGUUGUGAUGCCAAUUGCAUUGCCCGGUAGCUACGUGCGGAAGAGAUAAGCGCUGAAAGCAUCUAAGCGCGAAACUUGCCUCGAGAUGAGUCUUCCCUUGGACCUUGAGUCCACUAAAGGAACGUUUAAGACUAAGACGUUGAUAGGCUGGGUGUGUAAGCGUAGCGAUACGUUGAGCUAACCAGUACUAAUGAUCCGUGAGGCUUAACCUU